GACGAACGCUGGCGGCGUGCUUAACACAUGCAAGUCGAACGGAAAGGCCCUGCUUUUGUGGGGUGCUCGAGUGGCGAACGGGUGAGUAACACGUGAGUAACCUGCCCUUGACUUUGGGAUAACUUCAGGAAACUGGGGCUAAUACCGGAUAGGAGCUCCUGCUGCAUGGUGGGGGUUGGAAAGUUUCGGCGGUUGGGGAUGGACUCGCGGCUUAUCAGCUUGUUGGUGGGGUAGUGGCUUACCAAGGCUUUGACGGGUAGCCGGCCUGAGAGGGUGACCGGCCACAUUGGGACUGAGAGACGGCCCAGACUCGUACGGGAGGCAGCAGUGGGGAAUAUUGCACAAUGGGCGGAAGCCUGAUGAAGAAACGCCGCGUGCGGGAUGACGGCCUUCGGGUUGUAAACCGCUUUCGCCUGUGACGAAGCGUGAGUGACGGUAAUGGGUAAAGAAGCACCGGCUAACUACGUG
rnacentral:rRNA from 1 species